CUUUCACAUAUCUCCAUCCGUUGGCUGAGCCUGGAACGCUGCUUGAAUCGGAUUCUGCAGCAAUACAAGCCACUCUCCAGCUAUUUCAAGUCAGCAAAUGAGAAACAACCAUGCUUCACAUGGCUUACGCAUGCAUUCUCCAACCCAAUGACAGAAGUCUACCUGCUUUUCUAUCAGGCAACGUUGCCAGCCUUCUCCUCCCUUAAUCUCCUCCUUCAGAGAGAGAAAUCAUCUGUCUUCCUUCUCUAUGAAGAGAUGACCAAGUUCAUUCGCAAGUUGUGCGGAAGAUUCCUGCAAGUUCAGGCACUGCAGAGC